CUUGAAAUAAACAUGACAGGCAGCUGCAGUGAGAACCAGGUAUCUCUCAUUUCAGGAAUGUAACCAAAAGGUUUCUUUUUUUUUUUUUUUUAAAGGGG